UCGACAAUGCCAAGAGGCAGAUAUUUGUUUAACUUUAAAACCUGACUAUUGGUACAAUUUUGAUCCCUGACUUUAAGAACGAGAGAAAAUGUUGCUAUUCAGAAGACCAAGCAGCCUAGGAUGGCUUAAUGAUAGAACUCUCACACGCAAGUUAGAAUUUAUAUGGAAAAAGAUUGACCACCAUGCUGGGUGUCAGACAUAUUUUCUUGGAGGGGCACUAGCAAUUUGAUUGAAUUGGAUAUAAUUAACUGAAGCAUCAAGUAACCAUUAAAUACAGUGAAACAGCACAUGGCACAACCACUCUGCCUAAACGACAGGAAAACAGACAAAUCAAGGUUCGUACUAGUACUACGGACUAAUUAAUCAUUCCAACCACCCGAUUAACAAUGAAAAGUUUGCUGGCCGGCGGUGAUGGAAUGUUAACUUAUGAUGAAUUGACUCUCUGCAGGUUUGAUCUGAAGGUGACUGGUGAAGAACCCUUGAAAAAACAAACAAGUGUCACUUCUUGAAUAGAGCGAACAUAUUUGACACAGCAACUGACUUGAGGAGGCUGAAUCCUUAUCCUUUACUGCACUGUUUUUGUGUAGCAAACAAACAAGUACUCAAAGCAUUUAUUGCGGUAUUUGCUGAAAAGAGUGAGUAUACUAUUUACUGCAGAUAAGUCUAGCAAACAGAUAGGGUCACCACAUCCGGCGCCCAUAGCAUCUGCACAAUUGCAGGUAUAUAGAGAAUUAGAGAUGCAAGAAGACUGGCUGCAUAAGUCUAGAUAGCAUAAUCGCUGAUGAUUACUCCAGGUAACAGCGAGGCAGGCGGUUAAGCCUUGAGGUGGUUUGCAUCUAUCAAGCCUAGUUAAAUUUAACUUUGAGAUUAGUAGUUGCGCACAUGGCUGUCGACCAACUUAAUUUGGCUCUGAGCUUAUUUUUCCACAUGGCCAGUCCCAAUGUCGACAACGCCAAGAGGCAGAGAUUGGUUUAAUUUUACCAACCGACUGUUUUUAGUUUUACGACCUGACUUUGGGAUCAGUUUAGCUGGGUCUGAUUUUAAUCUUCGGUCGCAGAAAAACUGUGGAGAGGAGGUGUAGUAAUUUUACCAACGCGAGUAGUUUAGCUAGAUAUUACUACUUAUUCGCGACAACGCCAAAGCAAAUCGACUCUGUUAACGGUAGUAAUGCGCAAUGUAAAACAGGAGCUGUACCUUCAGUGCCGAGGUGGGUGGGGAGCUCGCGGGAGGCUGCGACCAUGUCGGCCUUCACACAGAAGCCUCCGCCGCCGUGCUUCGCCGCGACCCGACCACCGAAGCCACGAUGCAAUCCGAACUACCGGCCGCAGUCAGGUCGCCACCGCAACCCGACCACCCGAG
rnacentral:lncRNA from 1 species